AUGUCAAGGGAUCCACUUGUUGUAGGCAAUGUAGUUGGAGAUAUCUUGGACCCAUUUAUCAAAUCAGCAUCACUCAAAGUCUUAUACAACAAUAGGGAGCUGACUAAUGGAUCUGAGCUCAAGCCUUCACAAGUAGUCAAUGAGCCACGGAUCGAGAUUGCUGGGCGUGACAUGAGAAACCUUUACACUUUGGUAAUGGUGGAUCCUGACUCACCAAGUCCAAGCAAUCCAACCAAAAGAGAAUACCUUCAUUGGUUGGUGACAGACAUUCCGGAAUCAACAGAUGCAAGCUAUGGAAACGAGAUAGUCAGCUACGAAAGCCCAAAGCCAACAGCAGGAAUACAUCGCUUUGUCUUUGUGAUUUUCCGCCAAUCUGUCCAGCAGACCAUUUAUGCACCAGGAUGGAGACCGAAUUUCAACUCAAGGGACUUCUCAGCACUUUACAGUCUAGGCCCACCUGUGGCUGCAGUAUUCUUCAACUGCCAAAGGGAGACCGGAUGCGGUGGCAGACGAUACAUCAGAUGA
rnacentral:rRNA from 1 species